rnacentral:misc_RNA from 1 species
GAUGAAGAACGUAGCAAAAUGCGAUAAGUAAUGUGAAUUGCAGAAUUCAGUGAAUCAUCGAAUCUUUGAACGCACAUUACGCCCGCUGGUAUUCCGGCGGGCAUGCCUGUUCGAGCGUCAUUUCAACCCUCAAGCCCCCGGGUUUGGUGUUGGGGAUCGGCUCUGCCCUUCUGGGCGGUGCCGCCCCCGAAAUACAUUGGCGGUCUCGCUGCAGCCUCCAUUGCGUAGUAGCUAACACCUCGCAACUGGAACGCGGCGCGGCCAUGCCGUAAAACCCCAACUUCUGAAUGUUGACCUCGGAUCAGGUAGGAAUACCCGCUGAACUUAAGCAUAUCAAUAAGCGGAGGA